rnacentral:rRNA from 1 species
UACGUAGGGUGCGAGCGUUAAUCGGAAUUACUGGGCGUAAAGCGUGCGCAGGCGGUUUUGUAAGCCAGAUGUGAAAUCCCCGGGCUUAACCUGGGAAUGGCAUUUGGGACUGCAAGGCUCGAGUGCGGCAGAGGAGACUGGAAUUCCUGGUGUAGCAGUGAAAUGCGCAGAUAUCGGGAGGAACACCAAUUGCGAAGGCAGCUCGCUGGGACGUCACUGACGCUGAGACGCGAAAGCGUGGGGAGCAAACAGG